CAGUCGCCGCGGGAAUACGUAGGGUGCGAGCGUUAAUCGGAAUUACUGGGCGUAAAGCGUGCGCAGGCGGUUUUGUAAGACAGGCGUGAAAUCCCCGGGCUCAACCUGGGAAUGGCGCUUGUGACUGCAAAGCUAGAGUGCGGCAGAGGGGGAUGGAAUUCCGCGUGUAGCAGUGAAAUGCGUAGAUAUGCGGAGGGACACCGAUGGCGAAGGCAAUCCCCUGGGCCCGCACUGACGCUCAUGCACGAAAGCGUGGGGAGCAAACAGGAUUAGAUACCCCCGUAGUCCCUGUCUCUUAUAC
rnacentral:rRNA from 1 species